AUUGAACGCUGGCGGCAGGCCUAACACAUGCAAGUCGAGCGGAUGAAGGGAGCUUGCUCCUGGAUUCAGCGGCGGACGGGUGAGUAAUGCCUAGGAAUCUGCCUGGUAGUGGGGGAUAACGUCCGGAAACGGGCGCUAAUACCGCAUACGUCCUGAGGGAGAAAGUGGGGGAUCUUCGGACCUCACGCUAUCAGAUGAGCCUAGGUCGGAUUAGCUAGUUGGUGGGGUAAAGGCCUACCAAGCCGACGAUCCGUAACUGGCCUGAGAGGAUGAUCAGUCACACUGGAACUGGGACACGGUCCAGACGCCUACGGGAGGCAGCAGUGGGGAAUAUUGGACAAUGGGCGAGAGCCUGAUCCAGCCAUGCCGCGUGUGUGAAGAAGGUCUUCGGAUUGUAAAGCACUUUAAGUUGGGAGGAAGGGCAGUAAGUUAAUACCUUGCUGGUUUGACGUUAACAACAGAAUAAGCACCGGCUAACUUCGUG
rnacentral:rRNA from 1 species